GUGCACACUAUCUCAUUGGACAGCAGCGUUGUCCAUCACACACUCUGCAUUGUGAUUGGUUGGUUGAUUUUGAAGACUCGCUGUACAGAAAGAUAGCUGGGAGCGAAAACAAAACACACAUAUGGACCUCGAAAAAGAAGAAAGAAAUGUUCAGCAGGAACAAAAAAAAAGAGAUGGCCAAAAGACUGCGCUAUCCACUGAAGAUGAUAUCAGCUAGACCCUGGCUCACCCAAGGAUGACCAAAAUGGUACAUCAUGCACUAUGGCACAUGGGAUGGAUGGGCAUCGGUUGAGAAGGCAUUUGGUGAGGUGAUCAUGGUCAAAGAAGUCCUCAUACACAAAUACUGCUGAAAGAUUAAAGUAAUGAAAUGCUCUGCAUUGUUGUGCAGCUGUGUGGAACACUGUUAGACACUUCUUUUAAGAAGUUUCACUGAGAAGAGACACAUUAAUAAACUGUCUUUACACUACCAGCUGAAAUAGUCAGUUGUUACAGGUUGGUUAAGGCAAUCUGCAUUUUUUUCUGAAGACAUCACUGUUGUCAGAAAUGUUAAAUGUUAUCAUGAUUCUGUGCAAACUGUGCUUUAUAAAGUGCUGCUGUGUUGUAUACUAAAGAUGGUGAUUUGAAUAAAGGUCUUUUUUCAUUUCAUUGCUCAUUUUUGUUUCCAAAGGAG
rnacentral:lncRNA from 1 species